rnacentral:tRNA from 1 species
UGCACAGAAGAGCAAUGGCAGCUCGUCAGCCUCAUAAGCUGAAGGUUAUCGGUUCGAGUCCGAUCUGUGCGA